rnacentral:lncRNA from 1 species
GUCUCGCUAUGUAGCCCAGGCUGGUUUUGAACUCCUGAGCGCAAGCUAUCCUCCCACCUUGGCCUCCCAAAAUGCUGGGAUUACAGGCAUGAGCAACCAUACCUGCUCUGUUUGUUUUAACUAGUGGAGUGAACAUAUCUUGUGUACAUUGGAUGGAGGUAAAAUUGGAAGGAAGGAAGGAGGAGAAGAAGAAAAAUUAUUGAAACAGUAUAAUGAGAAUGGAGAAGGAAAAUGCUACAUUUUUUAGGUAGGGAAACCAAGGAAUCAUUCACUCAAAUAGUCAAGAAAUAUUUCUGAAGACCGGCUGGGCGCGGUGGCUCACGCCUGUAAUCCCAAAGUGCUGGGAUUACAGGCAUGAGUCACAGUGCCUGGCCUAAAACCACUUUUUGAUCUAAACUUUUUUUUUUUUUCAACCCAGUGCAUUUGUAUUUAUCUCAUGACUAAAGUUCAGAAGUAAAAGCUAUGGGAUUUUUUGUGUGUAUGUGUGUAUAUGUGUGUGUAUAUAUAUUUAAAAGGCUUUUAUAGUAGAUUUAUAUAAUUUUAAUUGGUAAUUAAAUUCAUUUUAACUUCACUCUAGCACACCUGACUUUUCCUCUUGAGAUGUAAAUUUUGCUAAUUGAUUUUUCACUUGAGUUGUUUCCUUUAAUAUGCAAAUUUAGUACUUUAGCUAAAACUGCCUAGGGUAAUAAAAUGGGUUAUCAAGAAUUUAAAAGUCUAAGGAAAAAAAAAUAGGUCUUAUGAAUCUGUAAGCUGUACUUCUAUUGGUAUGCCUAAUAUGUCUAUGUAUUUCUGUGUUGUGUAUAUAAUAUUUUACUACUAAAAAGAUAUAAAAGAGCUUGCAUUAAGUGGUUUAAAGAAAAAUGAAAGUGCUUAAAUCAAAUACUUUAUCAAAAAAAAAAAAAGACUAGUCAAAUGUUUUUCAAGUUCAUGUGAGAUGGGAUAAUUCCCUUGACCCCUUUCAUGGGUGGGAACUGGAGUGGCUGGUUUCAUUGAGCCAGCAGCUGUCCACUCCUUGCAAGAGGGAUCAUGCAUGCUAGUGAGUGCAGGAACUGGAGCGAACAAAUGCUGG